rnacentral:rRNA from 1 species
UACGGGGGGAGCAAGCGUUGUUCGGAUUUACUGGGCGUAAAGGGCGCGUAGGCGGCCACUGCAAGUCGGUUGUGAAAUCUCCGGGCUUAACCCGGAAAGGUCAAUCGAUACUGCAGGGCUAGAGUGCGGAAGGGGCAACUGGAAUUCUCGGUGUAGCGGUGAAAUGCGUAGAUAUCGGAAAGAACACCAACGGCGAAAGCACUCUGCUGGGCCGACACUGACACUGAGAGACGAAAGCUAGGGGAGCGAAUGGG